UACGUAGGGUGCGAGCGUUGUCCGGAAUUAUUGGGCGUAAAGAGCUUGUAGGCGGUCUGUCGCGUCUGCUGUGAAAAUCCGGGGCUCAACCCUGGACUUGCAGUGGGUACGGGCAGACUAGAGUGUGGUAGGGGAGACUGGAAUUCCUGGUGUAGCGGUGAAAUGCGCAGAUAUCAGGAGGAACACCGAUGGCGAAGGCAGGUCUCUGGGCCACUACUGACGCUGAGAAGCGAAAGCGUGGGGAGCGAACAGG
rnacentral:rRNA from 1 species